rnacentral:lncRNA from 1 species
AUUCUCCUUAUCUACCACCAUGUAAGACAUGCCUUUCGCCUUCCACCGUGAUUAUGAGGCCUCCCCAGCCACGUGGAACUCAUACACUUAAUAAUUCAUUACCUAUUAAGGUAAGAUUCUACUCCUUUUUUGGUGUUUUGUUCUUUCUUUAUUUUUAUUUGCUCCUGCAUUGUGAAAUCCGGUGUUUGGUGUGUGUCAGAAUGAAUAACUAUAUGAUUUUCCAAAUACCUCUUAUAAACUAACUGCCAUUCUUCCAUGUCUUUGGAAUUUCUUUCAAUCCAGCUUCUUCUCAGCUGAGGUCAUGCAAAAAUGACUCACUUGCAUAUGAUACUUUCCUUGAGGAAUUAAACCAUAAACUGUAUCCUUUUGUGCAAAUCCCUUACACAUCUCAGUCAUGAAUCUGUAUGGCUCUCACUUCAUUUAUUCUGGCUUAGUUAUCAGCAUAAGCCUGUAAAAGUCAAAUUUUGCUAACAAAUGGAAGUAAUAGCAAAGAAAGCUAAGGACAAUUUAUUUCCCUUAGGAGAUGGGAAGCAGAGGUACAAACAACUUUUGUUCCACCACCCUUUUCACUUAAAACACACACACACACGCACACACACAUGCACGCACACACACACACAUACACUAUCUUACUACUUGAAAAUGAGGGCAUUAGAGUCUAGAUAAAAGGGACAGAGGGACAGAGUACACUAAUGUGAAGAUCUCUUGUCAGUUGUACAUUCUGAAUAAACAUUUCAUCUUACCUUAAUGCAUAGGAAACUCGAACUUGUUUUCAGAACAAUGAAGUCAUUACUCCUAACUCAGUAUUACUUCUAAAUUCUGGGCCUAGUUCAAAUAUUAUUGUAUAUAUUUUAUUUAUUUGCAAAGUCAUCUACUUGCAUGUAAAGCUGACAAGACUGUAAGUAAUUAAGCCAGGUGUGUCCCCUCAUCUUUUUAUCCCCAGCAUAUAUUAGGAAUGAGCUGAUACAGCCCAUUCCUCAAAUCCUGAGUAGUCCGGCCUUCCAUAUCCCUGGCCAUAUUCCUCAUUCACCAUUACCAGCCCUCCUUGCAUUGUGUAUUGAGGGAGAAGAUUCCUAGAAGCAACAUUCAUCGUCUCUCUUUUCAAUGAUGGACAACUCUCUGCUGUGCCAAAUAUACUAACUUUAACCACCCACUGCCAAACUCACACCUCCUUGUUCAACAAGCCAGUUACGGGCAGUGAAUGAAUCUACGAUGCUGAACAGCCCCGUGGGCAUCUUCUCACUGGGCACUGGCUAGAAUGCAGUUGGAUUAGACUUUCACAAUUGCUUUGUUUUCAAGCCAGGAAGGAGAAAUUGAAGGCAAUUCACCACCUUUCUAUAUCCAAGAUGAAAACACAGCACUCUCCUAAACUUCAGAAGUAUAACUCAGUGGGUUAGUACUUCAGAUCUAGCCUGAGGCAAAAUUAUGAUUUUUCCAAAAGAUUUUCUUUUUUUAGCAUUCUUUUCCUUACACGCAGGCCUUUGAUCAAGCUACAGUUUUGAACUGAUUACAGCUUUUGAAGCCUCAGAAGAUUUAAAGACCCACAUUGUUAACAAUGGUGUUUUAGGUGUGUGGCGUAUUAGAGGAGUCGGGUUAAGAGUAUGAACCUUACCAACAGGUAAAAAUGUGUCAUAUUAAUUUUUUCAACAUCAACAAACACGUCAAAAGAUGGAGCACUGAAAGCUGCAUUUUAAACAAAUGCCCCAGCGAAGGUCUGCAGCUUCACUCCUGAAGCCAGCGAGACCACGAACCCACCGGGAGAAACGAACAACUCCAGACGCAUCACUUUAAGAACUGUGACGCUCACCGCGAAGGUUUGCAACUUCACUCCUGAGCCACCGAGACUACGAACCCACCGGAAGGAAGAAACUCCGAACACAUCCGAACAUCAGAAGGAACAAACUCCAGACACGCCGCCUUUAAGAACUGUAACACUCACCGCGAGGGUCCGCGGUUUAUUCUUGAGGUCAGUGAGACCAAGAACCCACCAAUUCUGGACACACCACCUUGCCCUUCUACUUUUCACAGGUACUAAGGUCUCAAACUCAUAAGUUUUUCCAGGGUUUUCUGCAUUGAACAACUUUUUGUUUGUUUGGUGGUGGUAGUGAGGAAUAGACCUUCCCCCUUUGAAAGCUUCCCUUGUUUCCUUUAGUCUGAUAAAUCAGUUACCACUUAAAUAUCUGCUUCCUAGCUUCUGAACUCAUGCUGAUAAUGCCCAUCUGCUGUCUUUACAUGCCUGGUGUCUCUGAUGGCCAUUUUUCUUAGGGGCUUGUUCAGUGCAAAUAAAUGACUCUCUAUGGAAAAAAAGAAAAAGGGAAAACUGAUUUAUAGCAUUUGCCAAUUUCUAGUGGUGUAGAUGCUCUUACUAUAUGACUGUCUUCAAGCUACCAAUAAUUUAACAGGCUUGCAAGAGUCCUGAAUACUUAUCAGUUAUAUCUCAGUAGCAGGUAAGUGCUAUCUCCAGCCCAGCACUGUUUAUGCCUUUGUUAGUUUUACUGUCUCUUUAGUAAGGCUUUUGGAGAGGGUUGAGAUAAAAGUAUAUCUCUCCAUAUUUAACUGGAAGUCUCAAUUUCUUGCCUAUUUGUGUAGACAUAAGCUGACUUGGAAAAUUAGCUACUUGAGUGGAGUAAAUUUUAAAAAUGGAAAUUAUAUGGAAUAUAUGUGUAGGGCUUUGCCUCAAACAAUGACAAAUUUGUUUUUUCUAUAGCCCCGGCUAUUCAGGGGACUGAGGCAGGAAGAUCCCUUGAGCUCUGGAGUCCAGCAGGGGCAACAUAGCGAGCCUUAAGGAAAAACAAAACAAAAAACAAUGUUUCUUCUUCAUUCAACGUCAUUGUCCUAACUUUCUUUAAGUUAAUAAGGCCUCUUCCUGCUCAUUCUUUCCCUAACAUUCAUAAACACAUAUAAAGUGACUAAGGGAUUUAAAAGAAACAAAACAAAGUUCACUUCCUUAAACGAAACGAGUUUACUUAGGAAGAUGUGCUUUAAAACACUGAGAGGGGCCGGGCAUGGUGGCUUGUGCCUGUAAUCCCAGCUGACACGGGUGGAUCACGCGGUCAGGAGAUCGAGACCAUCCUGACUAACACGGUGAAACCCCGUCUCUACUAAAAACUGCAAAAAAUUAGCCGGGCGUGGUGGCAGGCGCCUGCAGUCCCAGCUACUCGGGAGGUUGAGGCAGGGGAAUGGCGUGAACCCGGGAGGCGGAGCUUGCGGUGAGCCGAGAUGGCGCCACUGCACUCCAGCCUGGGCGACAGAGUGAGACUCCGUCUCAAAAAAACAAACAAACAAACAAAAAACACUGAGAGGGUAUUUAGGGCUUUAAUGUACUAACACCAACUCAUAAGCAUCAUCAGUCAUUUAUAUCUUGGAGGUGUGGAACAAGUAAACUGAGGUAAUGAAAUAAUAUUUGCCUUCACAUUAGUCACUGCUCAGUCACUUAGAGAUGUAAAUUGCAGAAGAUAUACAACUUGUAAAAAUUAUCUCAUUCUUUCUAAUUGGAUUGUGAAAUAUCUAACACCAGCUCCAUUUUUAAGAAAUGUUAAUGCAAACCUGAGAGACUGCAAAUACUGCCAGUGUUGCCUUCUAUAGAAACGGGAUUUGGCUGGAUGAUAUCCCUGGACUAAUCAUCUACAAUGUGGAAAUACUAAGAAUCAUGGCACAGAGGUUAAUACACUUAGGCAAACAACAUAGUGAGUAAAUUAAACUCGCAUUUCUUUUAACGAGAUAAAGUUUGUCACAUACCCACAGAAUUCAUGAGGAAGUUCUGAAAGGAUCAUACACUCCCAAAAUUUGCAGUGAAAACGAUCUUAGAUAAUGUCUUUUUCAUAGCACUCAAUUAUAUGUAAGGAAACUGAGGCCCAAAGUGGUGAAGCCAGUGAGAGAGUGGACUAAAGAAAGACUCAUUGUAUCUACCUCGCACUUGCGAAUUUCCUAUCUAAAGAUUUCUGUUAGCCCCCAAACAUCCCCCAGGAUCAGGAGAAAAUAAAACCAGGAUAUUUACAUUUCCCAUACUUCUCAUAUGGAAGAAAUGCUUUUGGUUCCAAGUACUGUUGUCCACUGAAAUAUCAGCAUACAUGUUUGGAAAGUUUUACUUGUGUGAAAUAAUUAAAAUCCAU